AGAGUUUGAUCCUGGCUCAGNAAUCAACGCUGGCGGCGUGCCUCAGACAUGCAAGUCGAACGCGAAAUUUCCCUUCGGGGAGAAAGUAGAGUGGCGCACGGGUGAGUAACACGUAGGUAAUUUGCCUUUGGGUGGGGAAUAACUCAGGGAAACUUGAGCUAAUACCGCAUAAUGCAGCGGCUCGACAUCGAGACAGUUGUUAAAGCGGGGGAUUGGAGCAAUCCGACCUCGCGCCUGAAGAGAAGCCUGCGGCAGAUUAGCUAGUUGGUAAGGUAAUGGCUUACCAAGGCGACGAUCUGUAACCGGCCUGAGAGGGCGGUCGGUCACACUGACACUGACAUACGGGUCAGACUCCUACGGGAGGCAGCAGUCGGGAAUUUUGGGCAAUGGGCGAAAGCCUGACCCAGCAACGCCGCGUGAAGGAUGAAAUUUUUCGGAAUGUAAACUUCGCAAGAAUGGGAAGAAUAAGUGGGGGACAAUACCCCCCAUGAUGACGGUACCAUUUGUAAGCUCCGGCUAACUUCGUGCCAGCAGCCGCGGUAAUACGAGGGGAGCAAGCGUUGUUCGGAUUUACUGGGCGUAAAGGGCGCGUAGGCGGCUCUACAAGUCACUUGUGAAAUCUCCGGGCUUAACUCGGAACGGUCAAGUGAUACUGUCGAGCUAGAGUGCAGAAGGGGCAAUUGGAAUUCUCGGUGUAGCGGUGAAAUGCGUAGAUAUCGAGAGGAACACCAGAGGCGAAAGGCGGAUUGCUGGGCUGACACUGACGCUGAGGCGCGAAAGCUAGGGGAGCGAACGGGAUUAGAUACCCCGGUAGUCCUAGCCUUAAACGAUGAAUGCUUGGUGUCUCGGGUUACAUAGUCCCGGGGUGCCGUCGCUAACGCUUUUAGCAUUCCGCCUGGGGAGUACGCACGCAAGUGUGAAACUCAAAGGAAUUGACGG
rnacentral:rRNA from 1 species